rnacentral:rRNA from 1 species
GUGAGGAAUUUUCCGCAAUGGGCGAAAGCCUGACGGAGCAAUGCCGCGUGAAGGAUGAAGGCCUAUGGGUUGUAAACUUCUUUUCUUAGAGAAGAAUAUUGACGGUAUCUGAGGAAUAAGCAUCGGCUAACUCUGUGCCAGCAGCCGCGGUAAGACAGAGGAUGCAAGCGUUAUCCGGAAUGAUUGGGCGUAAAGCGUGUGUAGGUGGCUUCAAAAGUCUCCUGUGAAAGAUCAGGGGUUACACCUGGGCCGGCAGGAGAAACUCUGAGGCUAGAGUUUGGUAGGGGCAGAGGGAAUUCCCGGUGGAGCGGUGAAAUGCGUAGAGAUCGGGAGGAACACCAAAGGCGAAAGCACUCUGCUGGGCCACAACUGACACUGAGAGACGAAAGCGAGGGGAGCAAAAGGGAUUAGAAACCCUAGUAGUCC